rnacentral:lncRNA from 1 species
AGAGUCCAGAGUUUUGGUUUAUAGGAUAUACCAAAUUGAUGAGGGGCAAAAGGAAAGAGAGAAGUUCCACACACACGAGUGCGGACAGGUCAGAGUUGAUUUGCCUAAUUGCUGAAGUCUUCUUUAUUUGGUUGAUGAUUUACGUUCGUUAACACAAGAAUUGGUUACAAACAAGACCAUAUUUCUAGACCUAAUCGGUAACUUAAAAAUUUAAAGCAAGAUUUAUAGGAUCGAUAUUAUCACAAGAAUUCUUUUUUGCUAUUAAGAGAUAUGACAACGGAACAAACUGUUAGAGAUCAAGGGUACAAGUGGAACAUAUGCUAUAGAAGGCAUAUGGUGUUCAAUUAUUUCCUACUUUCCCUGGCUGAUACAAUUUGCUCUCGCUGAUUUUGUUUGACUGAAUUCCUACCUUAGCAUGGAAUGCUCAUAUCAUCUCUUACAACUGUCACCAUAAUACCCAGAUUUCACUCCCCAAAAUAUGAUUGCCAAAAUUGGAAUUGGUAUAAGUGGGGAGGUAUUCUUUACAAUUGUAUGAAGAAGUUGAGUACCGAAGUGCAAAUUGCCUUGAUAUAUAUCUUCUCCACCGCUUGGAGCUCCUAUGUAUCGAUUUUGUGCUCUCAUUUUGUAGAAAGAAACAAAGGGAAGAACAGAACAGCUUCAGGAGGAGAAACUAAGGGUCCAAAUCCACCAGAGUCCAAUUGAUUUAAGGUAACUAAUGUAUAGAAUUGAAUUUUAUGAGCUGAACUUGAUAGGAUUUGGUGAUCUUUUAUGAACCAAAUUUGAGUUGAUAACUUCUAGCCGGGAAAAUUGAAGUUGGACAGCUAUAAACCAAUUUUGUGGCUAUGAUUUCUUGCAUAUGUUGCUAUUAACUUGUAACCAAACAUCUGAUGUGGGUAGAUGUAUGAAACUGAAGAGAUUUUAGAUGGUAAUGGCCAAGAAACCUUGAGUUCUAACUAACCCCAAGGUUGACAGUCACCUUUGCGCAGCUUUAGUAAAUUGGCCAUAACUUGAGAUGGAAAACUCGAAAUUGGGUAACGUCAAUUGCAUUAGAAACUAGACUUAGAGAUCUUUCCAGCGGUAUAAAAAUCAAGCUCUGGUUCAUUGCCUACUAAACCAGAAAAUUUGCAAAUUUCAUUGGAAAUCAGAACCUGCGCAGUUAGAGACUGGAAAUUGCACUUGCUUGUGGCCCAACUUAGAACCGUCUAUUGAUUGAUUCGCUAAAUGAUCCCUUGUAGAUAUAUUUAGUAUUUCAAUUGUGGGUUCUAAUGCCUCCAAUUUUGUGGUGAUUUGACAUAUAUAUCCAGAGUUAUGCAUGUUUAAUUGACAACUGCAUUUGCUGAAAUUUCCACCCUGCACAACAUAAGAACUUGAAAGUGUACCAAAUUGUGACUGAAUUUAGAUAAGCUUAUGAUCUAAAUCUCUCAAUAGUUUCUUCUAAAGAUAGUUAGAGCCUUGUUUCUAGUUUAUAAGAGUGUGAAACUUAGAAUUUUCUGAAGUAUACAGCCCAUGUUACGCAUGUUUAAUUGAACUUUGUCCAUGCUGAAAAUGAUAGAGAGCAGUGUAGCUCUAUAGUCGACUUAAGUAUAAUGGCAUAACUCUUGAGACGAUAUACGUUCUUGAUUACUGCUAGGAGUUUCAACAGAUGGUUAUUAUUCUGAUUUUAUUGUUUUAGGGGAAGGAUAAAGAGAAUUUGUGUGACACUCUCUUGAUUAACGAGUAACUGGCUCUUUCAUAUCUCUAUAAUUUUUAAAAUGUCUUUAAAAAUUUUUUAUUUGUCACUUGUUAUAGAAAAUAUAUUUUGUUAUACUAAAUUGGAUUGAGCAUGUGUAAUUUUUUGACAACUAUGUGCAUAUGAAUAACUAUAUUACUUGUUUAAAAGUGAUUGUUAUGCAAUAUUUUGGAUAUCAUUGGACGUGCUUAAAUAAGUAAAUGACACGAAAAGGCUCUAAAAUUGUUAUAUUUGAAUACUGGUAGCCCUUUCACAGGAUAUAAUAGUGGACAAAUGACUCUAUUACGGGAAAAAAGAGUGACCGUAGUAAUUAUCUAGAACUAUAUUUUUAACCGGUAUGUGGCCCUACCACGGAAAAUAAUAGUGGUAUUUCAUAGUCUUGUCAUGAAAUAUAAUGGUGACCGUGGCAUAUUUUUGAGCUAAACGCAAAAUGAAAAGAUACAACAUUCCAUGGAUUAUAAUUAAAGAACUAUGAAUCUAUGCACAGUUAUGCAUUGUAUAUGCAAGAUGCAUGCACUGUUUUAAUUGUGAUUGAAUUCCAAGAAAUAAUUUUAUUAAAUGUUAUUUAUAAUAUUAAUAUACUCAAUCUAUUAAAGAUACAUUUGAGCUACUUAUUGAGUAAAUUGAUGAUCACCCCACCUAAUUUUUUCUGUCCUGCAGAUGAGGAUCAAAUGCAUGAUCGAUUGAAGACUAGUUUGAUCAUAGUAUGUUUCUAGCGUUGAAUUUUGCAAAAAUGUAGCUUGUAUGACUUUUGUACCCUAGUAAUGCAUGUAUGUCAAGAGUUUAAUGUGAAAAAUUGUACAAAUGACUUUUUAUGUUUGAAACUUUGGUAAACACAUUUAGGUGGCGUUUGGUUCGCACAUCGGAAUCGCAUUCGGAUUCGGAAUCGGAUAUCCUGGGUUUGGAAUGAGGUCAUUCAUUCCAAUAUAUUUGUUUGGUUCAAGUACCUGGAAUGUGUAUCAUUACUAUAGUUGAUGUUUGGUUCGUCGACUCUUUCGGAAUGGAAUAUAAUAAAUAUAUUAUAAACCACAUCGUAAAUGAUAAUUAUUGGCUCUUUGUAAAUGAG